rnacentral:rRNA from 1 species
ACGGGGUGCAGCAGGCGCGAAAACUUUACAAUGCGGGAAACCGCGAUAAGGGGAUACCGAGUGCCAGCAUAUUAUGUUGGCUGUCCACAUGUGUAAACGGCAUGUGUUAGCAAGGGCCGGGCAAGACCGGUGCCAGCCGCCGCGGUAACACCGGCAGCCCAAGUGGUGACCGUUUUUAUUGGGCCUAAAGCGUUCGUAGCCGGAUAGGCAAGUCUUUGGGUAAAUCCUACGUCUUAAGCGUGGGAAUUCUAAGGAUACUACCUGUCUUGAGGCCGGGAGAGGCUAGAGGUACUUCUGGGGUAGGGGUAAAAUCCUAUAAUCCCAGGGGGACCACCGAUGGCGAAGGCAUCUAGCUGGAACGGGCCUGGCGGUGAGGAACGAAACCCAGGGGAGCGAGCCGGAUUAGAUACCCGGGUAGUCCUGGGCGUAAAUGAUGUGGGCUUGGUGUGAGGGCAUCGAUGUGGUGCCCUUGUGCCGUAGGGAAGCCGUUAAGCCCACCGCCUGGGGAGUACGGUCGCAAGGCUGAAACUUAAAGGAAUUGGCGGGGGAGCAC